UUUAACAAAUAAAUAAAAUAAAAUAAAGUUGCAAUGAUACUGAGAAGUUUAGCAUGGCCCCUGUGCAAGCAUGACAUGCAAAUUCAUGAGUUUUGCAAGACACAA
ensembl:snRNA U6 U6 spliceosomal RNA